rnacentral:rRNA from 1 species
AACACGUGAGUAACCUGCCCUUGACUCUGGGAUAAGCCUGGGAAACUGGGUCUAAUACCGGAUAUGACUCCUCAUCGCAUGGUGGGGGGUGGAAAGCUUUUUGUGGUUUUGAUGGACUCGCGGCCUAUCAGCUUGUUGGUGAGGUAAUGGCUCACCAAGGCGACGACGGGUAGCCGGCCUGAGAGGGUGACCGGCCACACUGGGACUGAGACACGGCCCAGACUCCUACGGGAGGCAGCAGUGGGGAAUAUUGCACAAUGGGCGAAAGCCUGAUGCAGCGACGCCGCGUGAGGGAUGACGGCCUUCGGGUUGUAAACCUCUUUCAGUAGGGAAGAAGCGAAAGUGACGGUACCUGCAGAAGAAGCGCCGGCUAACUACGUGCCAGCAGCCGCGGUAAUACGUAGGGCGCAAGCGUUAUCCGGAAUUAUUGGGCGUAAAGAGCUCGUAGGCGGUUUGUCGCGUCUGCCGUGAAAGUCCGGGGCUCAACUCCGGAUCUGCGGUGGGUACGGGCAGACUAGAGUGAUGUAGGGGAGACUGGAAUUCCUGGUGUAGCGGUGAAAUGCGCAGAUAUCAGGAGGAACACCGAUGGCGAAGGCAGGUCUCUGGGCAUUAACUGACGCUGAGGAGCGAAAGCAUGGGGAGC